UAUUUUAAUUGGGGUAGCCCCCCAAAUAUUGGGACAUAUAAAAAAAGACAACUCUGUCGCAGAGUAGCUGUUGACAUUACAGUUGCGCAGGAACUUUGUUGACUCUAGAGAACCUCUGGCAAAUCCAUAUCAACUUCCGAUGCUAGUUUCUACACCUACCAUGGUGACCAUGGGUAAUGGGGAAUCAGGGUUCCAUUCCGUACAGGGACCCUGACAAAUGGCUACCACAUGCAAGGAAGGCAGCAGGCAUGCGAAUGUCCCACUCCCGACGCAGGAAGGUAGUGACGACAAAUAACAAUACAGGACUCUUUAGAGGCCCUGUAAUUGUAAUGAGUCCACUUGAAAUCCUUUAACUCUGAUCAAUUGGAGAGAAGUCUGGUGCAGAGCCGCUGACCCGUGCAUGCUGCAGCUGAAACUCCACUA
rnacentral:rRNA from 1 species